AAAUUUUUUAUCUUCAUCACCAUCAAAUGCAAAUAAAAAAAAAUUAUAUGUUUAUAACAUACUAUUUAAAAAAUUCAUUAGAUUCAUCACCAAUAUAAAUAAAAUACUUUUUAAAUUUUAAAAAUGUUGAAAAAAAAAUCUUUUAAAAUACUAAUUUUAAAGUGGGAUAAAAAAGAUAAUGAUGUGGUAAACUUGGUCUAGCCAGUAUUUUCCGAUAAUUCCCAUAUUGUUUCCCAACAAAUUGUAAUAAAAUCGAAUAAAAAAAUUAAAUUAAUAAAAAUAUUAUGUUUUAUCUAAAAUUAGGAAAAGAAAAUACUUCUUUGGGAAGGAAAAGGAAAAAAAAAAAAAACAAGAAAUAUUUUAAAAUAUGCCUACGCAGAUAGGAUCAGUUAGAAAAUUUAGUUAAUCAUAGAUAAAAUAUUUAACCCUGGUUACUUGUUGAACGCAUGUUGAUUUCCUAUUCAAUUUUCUCUAUGAUUUUUUUCUUAUUUUGUUCAAAAAAAUAUUUAGGAAAAAAGGAGUGAGAGAAAAGGUUGUAACAAUGGUGGAUUUGGUUGGAUUUUAAAGAGGAAGAAGAUGACCGUUCAAAAUUUUUUAGGGGGACAUUUCUGUACGAUUAUAAAAUUGACAAUUUACUUAUCUAUUAUUAAAAAAUAAACUAUUAUUUAGCGGCAACAAACCAGAGAGACAAAUAUGAAUAUCACUAAACUUUUAUAAAGACAACAUAAGAAAAUUAAAUUUUAUAAAAAAAUAUUUGUAAUUCGCUAUGUUUAACGAGAGCUGUUGUAUGUAAUUAACCCUAAAAAUAACUACUCAUGCAAAAAUGUAAACUAUAUAAUUGUUAAUACAAAC
rnacentral:lncRNA from 1 species